AGAAAUUGACUUUAAUAUUUUACAAGUCACUGAACCGGUUCGCAGAAGGUUCAAGCUCGUGACUUGAACAAGAUUUGGUACAUAAUCUGAUGGUUUGAUCCUUGAUAUAAGAUCAAUUUAAAAAUUAAAACAUUUUGGGUUAAAAAGUAUAUACUAUAUACAAAGGCUUCAAAAAACAACUGGUUCAGACUAAAAAUGGAGCUAAAUAAAUUAAAUUUAUAGAUUUGAUAACUGAUUAGAAUCAAUAAUAGUUAAUUAAUCUACUUAUUAACCUUUAACUUAAUGCAUGUUCAACUUAAAAGAAGAAGAAAAACUAGACUCUUAAGUAUGAGAACUUACUUGGCUGGCUCGGAAUAUACUUUGGUAUGUGGAAGAUUUGGUUGGAUGGAAGAAAUGAAUUCCAGGUCUCUUAACAUGUAUAUGGACUUAAUUCGGAUUAGUUGACUCAGUUAAUCCAAAGCCGUAGCUCGAGAAAUCUGACAGUUCCAUUUCUGAAAUUUGGAAUGCUUACUCCGGGCUAGCCUUUCUAUAGAUAAACAGUUAAAUCAGGGUAAUAACGUUGCGCAUUCCUGAGAUACAAUCAGAUAUAUUAGUAUUUCGAUGAAAAAGUAA